rnacentral:tRNA from 1 species
GCGUUUUUACCUCAGUUGGAUAGAGUAACGCCUCUCUAAGGUAUGGAUUAGGGGGUUGAAUCUCUUAAAACGCAUCA